rnacentral:rRNA from 1 species
AACGAACGCUGGCGGCAGGCCUAACACAUGCAAGUCGAGCGAGGACUUCGGUCCUAGCGGCGGACGGGUGAGUAACGCGUGGGAACGUGCCCUUUGCUUCGGAAUAGCCCUGGGAAACUGGGAGUAAUACCGGAUGAGCCCUUUGGGGGAAAGAGUUAUCGGCGAAGGAUCGGCCCGCGUUGGAUUAGGUAGUUGGUGGGGUAAUGGCCUACCAAGCCGACGAUCCAUAGCUGGUUUGAGAGGAUGAUCAGCCACACUGGGACUGAGACACGGCCCAGACUCCUACGGGAGGCAGCAGUGGGGAAUCUUAGACAAUGGGGGAAACCCUGAUCUAGCCAUGCCGCGUGAGCGAUGAAGGCCUUAGGGUUGUAAAGCUCUUUCAGCGGGGAAGAUAAUGACGGUACCAGCAGAAGAAGCCCCGGCGAACUCCGU